rnacentral:rRNA from 1 species
AGUGGCGAACGGGUGAGUAACACGUAGGCAACCUGCCCAAAAGAGGGGGAUAACACUUGGAAACAGGUGCUAAUACCGCAUAACCAUGAACACCGCAUGAUGUUCAUGUAAAAGACGGCUUUUGCUGUCACUUUUGGAUGGGCCUGCGGCGUAUUAACUUGUUGGUGGGGUAACGGCCUACCAAGGUGAUGAUACGUAGCCGAACUGAGAGGUUGAUCGGCCACAUUGGGACUGAGACACGGCCCAAACUCCUACGGGAGGCAGCAGUAGGGAAUCUUCCACAAUGGACGAAAGUCUGAUGGAGCAACGCCGCGUGAAUGAAGAAGGCCUUCGGGUCGUAAAAUUCUGUUGUCAGAGAAGAACGUGCGUGAGAGUAACUGUUCACGUAUUGACGGUAUCUGACCAGAAAGCCACGGCUAACUACGUGCCAGCAGCCGCGGUAAUACGUAGGUGGCGAGCGUUGUCCGGAUUUAUUGGGCGUAAAGGGAACGCAGGCGGUCUUUUAAGUCUGAUGAGAAAGCCUUCGGCUUAACCGAAGUAGUGCAUUGGAAACUGGAAGACUUGAGUGCAGAAGAGGAGAGUGGAACUCCAUGUGUAGCGGUGAAAUGCGUAGAUAUAUGGAAGAACACCAGUGGCGAAAGCGGCUCUCUGGUCUGUAACUGACGCUGAGGUUCGAAAGCGUGGGUAGCAAACAGGAUUAGAUACCCUGGUAGUCCACGCCGUAGACGAUGAGUGCUAAGUGUUGGAGGGUUUCCGCCCUUCAGUGCUGCAGCUAACGCAUUAAGCACUCCGCCUGGGGAGUACGGUCGCAAGACUGAAACUCAAAGGAAUUGACGGGGGCCCGCACAAGCGGUGGAGCAUGUGGUUUAAUUCGAAGCAACGCGAAGAACCUUACCAGGUCUUGACAUCUUCUGACAAUUCCAGAGAUGGAACGUUCCCUUCGGGGACAGAAUGACAGGUGGUGCAUGGUUGUCGUCAGCUCGUGUCGUGAGAUGUUGGGUUAAGUCCCGCAACGAGCGCAACCCUUAUUGUCAGUUGCCAUCAUUAAGUUGGGCACUCUGGCGAGACUGCCGGUGACAAACCGGAGGAAGGUGGGGAUGACGUCAAAUCAUCAUGCCCCUUAUGACCUGGGCUACACACGUGCUACAAUGGACGGUACAACGAGUCGCUAACUCGCGAGGGCAAGCUAAUCUCUUAAAGCCGUUCUCAGUUCGGAUUGCAGGCUGCAA